rnacentral:rRNA from 1 species
ACUCCUACGGGAGGCAGCAGUGGGAAUCUUAGACAAUGGGGGCAACCCUGAUCUAGCCAUGCCGCGUGAGUGAUGAAGGCCCUAGGGUUGUAAAGCUCUUUCAGCUGGGAAGAUAAUGACGGUAGCAGGUAAAGAAACCCCGGCUAACUCCGUGCCAGCAGCCGCGGUAAUACGGAGGGGUUAGCGUUGUUCGGAAUUACUGGGCGUAAAGCGCACGUAGGCGGAUCGGAAAGUUGGGGGUGAAAUCCCGGGGCUCAACCCCGGAACGGCCUCCAAAACUAUCGGUCUAGAGUUCGAGAGAGGUGAGUGGAAUUCCGAGUGUAGAGGUGAAAUUCGUAGAUAUUCGGAGGAACACCAGUGGCGAAGGCGGCUCACUGGCUCGAUACUGACGCUGAGGUGCGAAAGUGUGGGGAGCAAACAGGAUUAGAUACCCUGGUAGGCUCUGC